rnacentral:rRNA from 1 species
UUUGAUUAGGUCCUUGUCUAUGUUCCUUGGAACAGGACGUCAUAGAGGGUGAGAAUCCCGUUUGGCGAGGAUACCUUUUCUCUGUAAGACUUUUUCGAAGAGUCGAGUUGUUUGGGAAUGCAGCUCAAAGUGGGUGGUAAAUUCCAUCUAAAGCUAAAUAUUGGCGAGAGACCGAUAGCGAACAAGUACAGUGAUGGAAAGAUGAAAAGAACUUUGAAAAGAGAGUGAAAAAGUACGUGAAAUUGUUGAAAGGGAAGGGCAUUUGAUCAGACAUGGUGUUUUUUGCAUGCACUCGCCUCUCGUGGGCUUGGGCCUCUCAAAAAUUUCACUGGGCCAACAUCAAUUCUGGCAGUAGGAUAAAUCAUUAAGAAUGUAGCUACCUCGGUAGUGUUAUAGCUUAUUGGAAUACUGCUAGCUGGGAUUGAGGACUGCGCUUCGGCAAGGAUGUUGGCAUAAUGGUUAAAUGCCGCC